GUGAGGAAUAUUGCGCAAUGGAGGCAACUCUGACGCAGCCAUGCCGCGUGCAGGAAGAAGGCGCUACGCGUUGUAAACUGCUUUUAACCGGGAAGAAACCCCAGGACGUGUCCUGGGUUGACGGUACCGGAGGAAUAAGCACCGGCUAACUUCGUGCCAGCAGCCGCGGUAAUACGAAGGGUGCAAGCGUUAUCCGGAUUCAUUGGUUUUAAAGGGUGCGUAGGCGGAUCGUUAAGUCAGUGGUGAAAUCCUGCAGCUUAAAUGUAGACUUGCCAUUGAUACUGGCGCUCUUGAGUGCGCUUGAAGUGGGCGGAAUGUGCCGUGUAGCGGUGAAAUGCUUAGAUAUGGCACAGAACACCAAUUGCGAAGGCAGCUUGCUGAACCAUUAUUGACGCUGAGGCACGAAAGCGUGGGGAGCGAACAGGAUUAGAUACCCGAGUAGUCC
rnacentral:rRNA from 1 species